AUACGUAGGGUGCAAGCGUUGUCCGGAUUUAUUGGGCGUAAAGAGCUCGUAGGCGGUUAGUCACGUCGGAUGUGAAAACCCAGUGCUUAACACUGGGCCUGCAUUCGAUACGGGCUGACUAGAGUGUUGUAGGGGAGACUGGAACUCCUGGUGUAGCGGUGAAAUGCGCAGAUAUCAGGAAGAACACCGGUGGCGAAGGCGGGUCUCUGGGCAACUACUGACGCUGAGGAGCGAAAGCGUGGGGAGCAAACAGGAUUAGAUACCCCAGUAGUCC
rnacentral:rRNA from 1 species